CAUUCAAGGGCUGCGAUACAACGACCAGCGUAAAUAUGCGCGAUGGGCUUCAGCCGCUUUCAUGAAGGAAUACACUAAGAGGGCCAUGUGUCUACGACAAAUGCACAGAAGCGUCGAACGACAGAAGGCUCGUCAGGAGUUGAGCAACUUCUACGACUCUGAAAACCUGGCCGACCUCGUUGGCGUGAAAAUAGCGUACGACGGCUUCUCUUCAUUGCCGCGGAGCCAGCGGACGCGUAUUUUGAGCGGCACGAACAUCACAGCAGAACGUCUGUACUUUAUUUCUCACUGUGUGAAGUGGUGCAGAGAGGUUCAAUUUGGAUCGGGACGAUACGCUCCAGACCGGUCCCGGUGCAUCGUUCCUUUGAUGAACAUGCCGGAAUUCUCAAAGGCCUUUGAGUGCGCUGCAGGAGACCUCAUGAAUCCCACAGAAAAGUGCGGAUUCUGGGCGUAAAAUGACGGUAAUCUACCUAUAGUUCGAUGCUUAUGUAUGUAUGUUCCGCAACACGCGAAAAUUGUUUGGAGAAGCUAAUAAACAAUCAUAA